AAUGGUCCAUUGUGAUCACAACCAAUUACAGGCUCAAAUGGGAAAUCAAUAGUUUUAUACUUUUCAUCCACUAAUUUUCUUGGAGAUUCCCAAUAAGGUCCAGCAUCAACUGUGUAAAAUUUCUCGAAAAUUGGAUCCACUGAAUUGUUUACUUCAGGCACAGUGUAACACCAGGCUGCUAUUACUCCAUUUGGUUUCUUGAGUAACCAUUUUACUUGUUGAUAAAAAGUUGGAAGAUCAAACCAAUGCAUUGCUUGAGCUACUGUGACCAAAUCUGCACUUGACUCUGCUCCUAUUUUGGUUUCGAUUUCGGACAUUGACAUCUUGGGAGAGGUACAUAUGUAUCGAACAUUCGGAACCUUUGCUGCAAAUUCAAGCUGCUUUGGACUUGUGUCUGUGGCUAUCACAUUCUUGUAGAGCUUAGCCAACUAAGGGAAACAAUAAUAUAAGAGCAUUUAGAUUUUAAAAAAAAAUGUCGAAACACUAUUGGAUGUGUGUUUUUGAACUCUUUCUGAAGUAUAUUAGUGCAACAUUUAGCCAUCUUCACAUAAAAUUUAGAUAAGCCAAUGUUCAUCAUGUAUUCACAUUUCUUCACGUAGUAGAAGAUAUCGAAACAGAGGAACUAUUUGCUUCUUAUAAGGGGCGAAGCUACACUAUCCGAAUCGUAGUCUAUUGACCGCCCUUCAUCGAAAUAUUAUACUGUGUAUAUAGAUAAAAUCUUAAGUUUUAGAGGUGUAUAACAUAUACUGAACAUGAAUUUAUUUUUACUUUCUUUCAAUUUUGAAUACUUUCGGGGAAAUUUUGGCGUCCCCACUUCUAACUGUAGUAUUAUGAGAAAGUAACUAUCUAGAUAUGUAAAAUGGCUACUUUAGAUUUGGUACUAUAUCAUACUCCCUCCGUUUCAAUUUAUGUGAACAUGUUUGACUGGGCACAAAGUAUAAGAAAAAAUGAAGACUUUUGGAAUUUGUGAUCUUGAACAAAUUAAAAAAGGGGCUCAGAGUAUUUGUAUGAUUAUAAAAAUUUCUCAUUAAUGAUAGAAUUAUAAGUGUAAGCUAAAUUGUUUCCAAAUUUAGAAAGAGAUCAUUCUUUGGAACGGACAAAAAAAAAUAUGUUUACAAAAAGUGGAACGGAGGGAGUAAUAAUGAAUUGAUUCUUAACUCAACAGUCUAGAAACUCUAACAAUCCUGUUUCAGUGAGAAGUUAAAGUUAAAAAUGCAAGAUUUCUUGUUUUCACAUAUAUAUAUAUAUGGACUGACUUGGAAAAAGUGAAACCAUCGUGUCAUUCUCUAAGAAAAAGAGGUCUCUACUUUUUUCUAAGCAACUAUGUAUUAUAUGAUUGUGCACAAAAGUCUACAUUUUGCGGUCAAUUCUCUUGCACAGGCGUAGAAUUAGUUUUGGCGUAACUGAUAAAGUUGUUGUCAAUUGAUCAAGAGGAUAAUUUGUUACAAAAAUACAGGGUAAGAUUGCAUACAUUAGACACUUGUGAUCCGGUCCUUUCCCGGAUCCACACAUAGCGGAAGCUUAGUGUAUCGGACUACCCUUUUCUCUUACAUAGGCAGUGACAGAGCUACAACGAUCGACGGGUGGCCAGUUGAAUAACCUUUGCCCAAAAAUUAUACUCUGAUUAUAUGGGUCAUCAUACUUAUAUAUAUAUAUAUAUAUAUAUAUAUAUAUAUAUAUUAAAUUUUAAACACACUUAACGAAAUUUCUGAGUGAGCCACUUUACCUAGAGAAAUUAGCAGAUUUAUAGGAGGGUGGGUGUGGGGAUGAAGCCAUGAAAGGAAUUAGAGAGACUUACAGAUUGAGCAGCCUGGCCACUACCAGUGCCAACAUCCCAAACAAGGUCAUGACAAGGCGUUUUUGAAGCUAUGAAAUUGAACAAUUCUUCAGGAUAACUUGGCCUGCCCUUUGAAUACUGUUGUGCCUGCUUAAUAAACAAUUUUGCCAUUCUUUUUUACUCUCCUC
rnacentral:lncRNA from 1 species